AUUGAACGCUGGCGGCAGGCUUAACACAUGCAAGUCGAGCGGAGGUGAGGUGCUUGCACCUUAUCUUAGCGGCGGACGGGUGAGUAAUGCUUAGGAAUCUGCCUAUUAGUGGGGGACAACAUUCCGAAAGGAAUGCUAAUACCGCAUACGUCCUACGGGAGAAAGCAGGGGAUCUUCGGACCUUGCGCUAAUAGAUGAGCCUAAGUCGGAUUAGCUAGUUGGUGGGGUAAAGGCCUACCAAGGCGACGAUCUGUGGCGGGUCUGAGAGGAUGAUCCGCCACACUGGGACUGAGACACGGCCCAGACUCCUACGGGAGGCAGCAGUGGGGAAUAUUGGACAAUGGGGGAAACCCUGAUCCAGCCAUGCCGCGUGUGUGAAGAAGGCCUUAUGGUUGUAAAGCACUUUAAGCGAGGAGGAGGCUACUGAGACUAAUACUCUUGGAUAGUGGACGUUACUCGCAGAAUAAGCACCGGCUAACUCUGUGCCAGCCGCCGCAGUAAGAC
rnacentral:rRNA from 1 species